UACGUAGGGUGCAAGCGUUGUCCGGAAUUAUUGGGCGUAAAGAGCUCGUAGGCGGUCUGUCGCGUCGGAUGUGAAAAUCCAGGGCUCAACCCUGGACCUGCAUUCGAUACGGGCAGACUAGAGUUCGGCAGGGGAGACUGGAAUUCCUGGUGUAGCGGUGAAAUGCGCAGAUAUCAGGAGGAACACCAACGGCGAAGGCAGCUCGCUGGGACGGUACUGACACUGAGGCGCGAAAGCGUGGGGAGCGAACAGG
rnacentral:rRNA from 1 species